rnacentral:rRNA from 1 species
CGGGUGAGUAACACGUGGGUAACCUGCCUGUAAGACUGGGAUAACUCCGGGAAACCGGAGUUAAUACCGGAUAGUUCCUUGAACCGCAUGGUUCAAGGAUGAAAGACGGUUUCGGCUGUCACUUACAGAUGGACCCGCGGCGCAUUAGUUAGUUGGUGAGGUAACGGCUCACCAAGGCAACGAUGCGUAGCCGCCCUGAGAGGGUGAUCGGCCCCACUGGGAUUGAGACACGGCCCAGAUUCUUCCGGGAGGCACCAGUAGGGAAUCUUCCCCAAUGGACGAAAUUCUGACGGAGCAACGCCGCGUGAGUGAUGAAGGUUUUCGGAUCGUAAAGUUCUGUUGUUAGGGAAGACCAAGUGCAAGAGUAUCUGCUUGCACCUUGACGGUACCUAACCAGAAAGCCACGGCUAACUACGUGCCAGCAGCCGCGGUAAUACGUAGGUGGCAAGCGUUGUCCGGAAUUAUUGGGCGUAAAGGGCUCGCAGGCGGUUUCUUAAGUCUGAUGUGAAAGCCCCCGGCUCAACCGGGGAGGGUCAUUGGAAACUGGGAAACUUGAGUGCAGAAGAGGAGAGUGGAAUUCCACGUGUAGCGGUGAAAUGCGUAGAGAUGUGGAGGAACACCAGUGGCGAAGGCGACUCUCUGGUCUGUAACUGACGCUGAGGAGCGAAAGCGUGGGGAGCGAACAGGAUUAGAUACCCUGGUAGUCCACGCCGUAAACGAUGAGUGCUAAGUGUUAGGGGGUUUCCGCCCCUUAGUGCUGCAGCUAACGCA